rnacentral:rRNA from 1 species
CGGAACGGGUGAGUAAUAUAUCGGAACGUGCCCAGUCGUGGGGGAUAACUGCUCGAAAGAGCAGCUAAUACCGCAUACGACCUGAGGGUGAAAGCGGGGGAUCGUAAGACCUCGCGCGAUUGGAGCGGCCGAUAUCAGAUUAGGUAGUUGGUGGGGUAAAGGCUCACCAAGCCAACGAUCUGUAGCUGGUCUGAGAGGACGACCAGCCACACUGGGACUGAGACACGGCCCAA